rnacentral:rRNA from 1 species
GAUGAACGCUGGCGGCGUGCCUAAUACAUGCAAGUCGAGCGAACAGAUGAGGAGCUUGCUCCUCUGACGUUAGCGGCGGACGGGUGAGUAACACGUGGAUAACCUACCUAUAAGACUGGGAUAACUUCGGGAAACCGGAGCUAAUACCGGAUAAUAUAUUGAACCGCAUGGUUCAAUAGUGAAAGACGGUUUUGCUGUCACUUAUAGAUGGAUCCGCGCCGCAUUAGCUAGUUGGUAAGGUAACGGCUUACCAAGGCAACGAUGCGUAGCCGACCUGAGAGGGUGAUCAGCCACACUGGAACUGAGACACGGUCCAGACUCCUACGGGAGGCAGCAGUAGGGAAUCUUCCGCAAUGGGCGAAAGCCUGACGGAGCAACACCGCGUGAGUGAUGAAGGUCUUCGGAUCGUAAAACUCUGUUAUUAGGGAAGAACAAAUGUGUAAGUAACUAUGCACGUCUUGACGGUACCUAAUCAGAAAGCCACGGCUAACUACGUG